rnacentral:rRNA from 1 species
AACUUUCAACAAUGGAUCUUUUGAUUAUGGUAUUGAUGGUGAAGAACACCGCAAAUUACAAUAAGUAAUGUGAAUUGCAGAAUUCAAUGAUGAACAUUGCACCCCCCGGCAUUCCAGGGGCAUGCCUGUCUGAGCAUUA